rnacentral:rRNA from 1 species
UUUGCCUACGGGGGGCAGCAGUCGGGAAUAUUGCGCAAUGGAGGAAACUCUGACGCAGUGACGCCGCGUAUAGGAAGAAGGUUUUCGGAUUGUAAACUAUUGUCGUGAGGGAAGAAAUUGACAGUACCUCAGGAGGAAGCUCCGGCUAACUAUGUGCCAGCAGCCGCGGUAAUACGUAGGGGGCAAGCGUUAUCCGGAUUUACUGGGUGUAAAGGGAGCGUAGGUGGCAGGGCAAGUCAGAUGUGAAAACCCGGGGCUCAACUCCGGGAGUGCAUUUGAAACUGUCCAGCUAGAGUGCAGGAGAG